rnacentral:lncRNA from 1 species
GUACAGGGCUUUUCUCUAUUCUUCUUAAAUUGGAUGGGCAGAUAAAAGUGCUCUCUACCCAAGACCCAUGUCAAAGCUUUGCUCAUGACACAUAAAAGGAAACUCUUGACAUUUACCAACUCUUUUAUUUUCCUUGCAAUGGUCAGCCUUCAAGCCCUGUCUCUGGAGAGUUGACACUAAGCCCUGCAGCAGAAGGAGGCUCCUUUUUCCCUCUUGCCUCAAGCUUUGACAGCAGGUGCCAUUGGUCAAGAGAGGGGAGAGAGACAGGAGAAUGGGUCAAAACUGUAAAAGCACAUGGCUUUUCCUGGAUUGAGAAGCAGCUGGGUAUCAGCUCUGUUGCCUUCUCCACCCUGGUAAGUACUUCCUCUUCUCUAUUACAUUGUCAUCGAGUGCUAUUCUGGGGGAAAGGUAAAGGGAGGGGAGGGACUGAACCUUCCUUCCCAGAGUUAAAACAGAAGGGGAAGGGCUGAGACCCAAAUAAGAAACCCAGAACUAGAUUUACUCCUUCAGGCAAGGCUUGAUCCAGGGACUCUCUCGUACUCCCUCUUGUCUGCACUUCUGCCACAGAGGGAAGAUAUUGGAAGUGGUGGUGAAGAGCACUGCCUGGGUUGACUUGGGGGAAGUUCCUCAACUGAUUCCUGCCCGAGUUUUCUCAUUGUUAAAGUGAGGAUAAUAAUAAUACCUGCCUCAUAGGAUUUGAGGAAUCAAUAAAAAUGUUAUAUAUUUAUGUUAUAUAAAGUGCUUUGAACAGUGUGACACACAGAUUAGAUCCAUGGUCUAUGGAGCCUGAAGUUUAUACAAGUUGAUACAAAAUUAUAUAAGAAAGUGAAUAUUUAUUUAGAAUGAUAAAAGAAACCACGUAAAAACACAAAUUGUAAAAGACUGACAAAUGCCAAAUUAUCACAAAAAAUUUGAAAGGAACAAUUUUUUUUUUAAUCCUUUUUUUUGGUCUUUUUAGGGCUGCACCUGCAGCAUAUGGAAGUUCCCAGGCUAGGAGUCAAAUUGGAGCUGUAGCCACCAGCCUACAUCACAGCCACAGUGACACAGGAUCCGAGCCGCGUCUGCAACCUACAUUACAGCUCACAGCAAUGCUGGAUCCUUAAACAACUGAGCAAGGCCAGGGAUCGAACCCAAAUCCUUAUCAUUGUAGUUGGG